ACUCCUUCCCAUCCCGAACAGGACAGUGAAACGCCUUUGCGCCGAUGAUAGUGCGGGUUCCCGUGUGAAAGUAGGUCAUCGUCAGGC
rnacentral:rRNA from 1 species